UGGGUGGUUAAUAUUUUCCGGAGUUUGUUCUUCAACCAUGAAAAUAUGCAAAGCUGGAGAGCUUGGUGCAUCUGUAUCUGCGAAACUGUGUUUCUGCUGUUUGUACAGCAUAUAGGAAAAGUGAGUCUUUAGUUGUAAAUGGGAAUGCUGAAUGUUUUUGAAGUGUGCCUUACUGAAGUUAUCCUCUCAGGUACAGUAAAAGAUAUGCAAGGUGUGUGCAGCAGAGAUCUUUUCAUAUCUCUUACCAUUCCUGGCGGUUUGAUUUACCUCAUUAAAAGGCUGGAAAAGCCACAUGGAGCACUUCCGAGAUCCAGGGCUUUAUUCUCAAUGAGACAUUUUCUCUUGGAGCUCAGGCAAUUUGUAGAAGUUAUGAAUGACUUUGGUGAAUAUCUCGGGGUAUCAUAAGGCAUAUCAUACUGAUGUUCUCCAGCAAGAGAUGAAGUAAAGCAAGCUCUAGAGAGAGUUAGUUGAUCUACAGAAGAGCUGCAAAUAUGUAAAAAUCAGAUAUAUAUGUGCUUUCUGAUGGUUAAAAUCUCUAAAAACAUGGGCUUGUUAAGGACGCAGUUUUCAGGAUCAGAAAUAUGGAACUAAGGACUAGGUCCAGCAUCAAAACUUGUUGCUGUUGCUCUCCAUUCAACCUCUUCCCUUCUUGAGAUAGCAGAACAACUACAUCUUGUACCUUUGAAGAGGUUUGCGUUCAGCAUUAUUGUUGUAGAUGGAAAGGGAAAGUUACUGUGAGCCUACCCAACAGCUUUAUAGAUACCAGCACUACACAGAGUUGGGUGCGAAGCCUGCAGUUCUACAUUGGUAGUCCCAGAAUGACAGCAGUAGUUCUGGUUUCUUACACACAUUUACAUGUCUCAGAUCCUUCCUAUCCUGCUGCUACUCUUGGGCCUGCAACAGGGGAAGGUCACUGUAGUGAUGUAUUUAACUACCAGGAGUCCACAAAAUGAAUACUCUGUGUGAAAUAGCAUAAGCUUCUAGUGUGGCAGAACGAGCCUUCUGGAUACCCUGUUCUGCAGCCAGGGACUGUGCUCCAAGCUGAAGCAAGAUGACCUGUGCCUGGGUAGAGGCAGCGGCCAUUUGGCUCAUCGUGCUCCAUUCAGAAGGUUAGUUCAUCUUUCUCCGUUCCUCCUGAUCCUGAAGUUCUAAUAAGAUUAUUUUUAGAAAACAAAAGCAAAGUUUUUCUUUAGUUAGAAAAAAUUCCUAACCAUCAAAUCUUGACUGACUUCUUGGAGUUGGUAUGCCCAUGGCUUCAUGUGCUGUUACCUACUGUAGCUAUUACUGGUAGCUGUGUCAUUUUUGUGAGAAGGCCAGGGGCAUCUAUUACAGGAGAUUCAUCUUUUGUCUGAUGAUGGAUUCCUUCUUCUCCCCAUCAUCUCAUACGUGAGUAUUGUAGCCAAAGAUUUCAUUGAAGACUCCUCCCAGGUUCAUGUUUAUGAAGUUGUCUUCAGAUUUCUUUUUCUUUCUGGAAGCUCAGUUUGGGAGAACAAAGGUCUUGAUCCAUAUGCUACUACAAAUCUCUAGUCUUCUCCCAACAAAAAAGAGGUUCUUUCCGAUCACUAUUAGGCCUUGGAUCAUCUCAAGUUCUGAGUGUUGUCCUGACUGUGCUGUAAUUCUGCUGCAGUCCCUUCUGAAAGUGACAGUGGACCAUCCUGCGCUCUUCCACAAGACAUGCUCUGUUCUACUCCAUAUCAGAAACUAAAUUUUGGAAAGUAUUCUUUCCAUGCCUUCCCAAACAACGCAUGUGGACAAAUGCAUGGAAGAGUUGAAGAAUUGUAAAAUGGCGUGUUCCUCCUGCAUGCUUUCUGUGUUUUGUUUUCUGUUGUCUUUCUCUCUUAGUUCUACUUAUCCUGGACUCUGUGGUUUGAAAUAAAAGCAAUAAAAGUUGCCAGAGAUUGCUAUUGCUUCCUCCCUAUAAGCCAAUGUAUGUGAAUAUCACUAAGUGAAAAUCUUCAAAUAUAAUUGUAUAAAGCACUUGUUGAUUGACUGUAGGGUACAAAGCUGAUCUUUUUUUAAUAAGAAAAGUACCUUUCAAAGGAUUUUACCUGAGGAAAUUGUGGAAUUUUGAUGAUUUUUAGCUACAAAUGAAACUGUGGUAGUGCAACUGACUUCAUGUUUGGCCAGUCAGUACAGCACGAGUCACCUGUUGCUUUGUGAUUCUCUUCACAUAUAACAGCAUGGAGGUGCAUGAGCAACACUGAAUUUAUACUUGUAUUGGAAUUAACGUUUAAUACCAACUAAAAUCCCUCUAUUUUAC
rnacentral:lncRNA from 1 species